rnacentral:rRNA from 1 species
UACGGAGGGGGCUAGCGUUGUUCGGAAUUAUUGGGCGUAAAGAGCUCGUAGGCGGUGUGUCGCGUCGGCCGUGAAAACCUGCAGCUUAACUGUGGGCUUGCGGUCGAUACGGGCAUCACUGGAGUUCGGCAGGGGAGACUGGAAUUCCUGGUGUAGCGGUGAAAUGCGUAGAUAUCGAGAGGAACACCUGCGGCGAAGGCGGGUUGCUGGGCCGACACUGACGCUGAUGCGCGAAAGCGUGGGGAGCAAACAGG